rnacentral:rRNA from 1 species
CCUACGGGAGGCUGCAGUGAGGAAUAUUGGUCAAUGGACGAGAGUCUGAACCAGCCAAGUAGCGUGAAGGAUGACUGCCCUAUGGGUUGUAAACUUCUUUUAUAUGGGAAUAAAAUGUUCCACGUGUGGGAUUUUGUAUGUACCAUAUGAAUAAGGAUCGGCUAACUCCGUGCCAGCAGCCGCGGUAAUACGGAGGAUCCGAGCGUUAUCAGGAUUUAUUGGGUUUAAAGGGAGAGUAGGUGGAUUGUUAAGUCAGUUGUGAAAGUUUGCGGCUCAACCGUAAAAUUGCAGUUGAAACUGGCAGUCUUGAGUACAGUAGAGGUGGGCGGAAUUCGUGGUGUAGCGGUGAAAGGCUUAGAUAUCACGAAGAACUCCGAUUGCGAAGGCAGCUCACUGGACUGCAACUGACACUGAGGCUCGAAAGUGUGGGUAUCAAACAGGAUUAGAUACCCCUGUAGUC